rnacentral:lncRNA from 12 species
CUACCUCCUUUUUUGCCUGAGCAAGAUCUGCCAAGCUCCCCCUUUUUCCAGGAGCCAAGCCAGCUACCAUUUAACCGCCACGUUUACACCGGAUAAGCUCCCAGAACUAAGAUGGAUACUUUGGAAUGAUUAUGUGGCUUUAAUGAUUCAGGGCUGUCUACAGAGGACCCCCUGGACCCUCACAAGACCAUUCCACACUUGGACAACUGCUUCCCAGGGGCCUUGCAAGAGAACCAGAGGAAUCCUGAGGUCUUUCAGCCAAGGGUCUGGUGGCCAGGGCUUCACAAAAGCUGGUUGAGCAUAUGCAUAUGUGCUGGAACCCAUCGAUGAAGCUCAAAGUGGGUUUCUUCCUGAGAGAUGUGGACCUGCGGAUAGAAGAAAUGUGGUCAGAUUGCUCAACUGAAUACUCUUAUAAACAUGCUGUUGGGGGACUCACCCUGGGGGAUCAUCAGGAGAUCAUGACAAUGUGCACAACUGAUGGACAUGUGAGGAAUGUGGCAGCCGAGCUUGGAGCAGAGAAGGUGAUUUGUUGCAGAGCAAUUACCCUAAUGCAUUUUUAAAAGCAUAAAAUAAAGAAUCAUUUCAUUUGCUGAAA